CCCGAAAUCAAUGUGAAAUACCCUGGCAUUUGCAACAGUAGGCAGCAUGUCCUUAAAACGUAUGGGUCCUCAAAACAGCACUUGUUGCACAAAUAAGUGUAGCUGGCCUCUUCAAGAAAUUGAAAUUAUGCAUGGUCACUUUUUCUUAUUGUUUCACGUGGAGGUCUACUGACAUUGUCUAAAUAAUGUAGGCUAGUUUAUGUCCAUGUAUUAUAUUAGGACCCAAGGUUAAUGGGUUAUUCUGUUUACCAUGUUUUCACAGGCUGCUGUCUCAUAAUAUGGAGAAGACGAGUCACUUGAAGGCCUAACAGCUCUUAUGAGGAGCAGUCUUGCCAUAGAAGACUGAAAGAAUGUAAGAUUAACUUCUUUGUGACCAAUAUGACUUGCUCAUUGAUACAUUAGCUAUGUCAAUAUGAGAUGCAUGGCGAAGUAUUUAAUUUAUUUGUCUCUCUUCUAGGAGCUGUAGAAACAACAGGGUGCCUGCUGCAGUAUGACGAGGACGCCCUGAUCAUAGAAGGUCCAGUGUCUUGGCAGGGUGAAAUGGCACUGAUAUCGUGUCCUGCAGGAUGCUGUGUCCUGCAAUCCUGUGUGCUGUGCUACAGACGCGUGUGGAGGUCAACCCGAAAUGGGCACAGUAGAGUGAAAGAGGAUCCUGGCAGGGAGACGGUAGUGUCCUGCAGGAUGGUGAUGGGCAAUCUUACAAGAGACCACAGAAAACUGAUAUAGUGUAAGAUUAUCCCUGUUGGGCUCAAUAUGUCUUGCUUAUUGAUAUAUUUGCUAUGUCAAUAUGAGGUGCAUGACGAAGUAUUUAUUUAUUUGUUGUUUCUACAGCUCCCAGAAGUGAGACUGAGUGCCUGUUGCAGUAUGACGAGGAAGCAGUGACCAGAGACCUUCAGUAGACCCUGCUGGCAUGAUUGGCGGCUGAAGAACAUGACAUCAACAGCAAUGUUUAUAAUAUUGUACAUACCUGUAUAGUCUGCACUAAAAUGCUGUACCUGUACUAUUUUUCCUCUUACUUUCAUAUUUACCACGUAUUUACUAUGAAUUGACAACUUUUACUCAAAUCCAUUUUUGUAUGUGCCCUGACUAAAACUAUCCUUAAACCUAACCUGUCAGAGGUGUAAUAACAACCUGCUCUUAGCAAUGUGGCAGCAGUCUACUUGGAUGCAGCGGGGAACAUAGAACCCUUUUUUUGAAAAAGCAUUGUAUGUUUCUGAGUUUUAUGAAUUGUGCCCUUCCCAAACCUAACCUGUCGUAGGGGCCUAUGAAAUCCGUUUUAUUUUUCCUCAUUCAGUUUUUUUCUGAUUUAUUUUUUGCCAAAUUGUUUUUUUUUUUUU